GGGCGAGUGGCGGAACUGGCAGACGCGCCGGACUCAAAAUCCUGUGUCCUUUUGGACGUGAGGGUUCGACUCCCUCCUCGCCCACCA
rnacentral:tRNA from 1 species